rnacentral:snRNA from 1 species
GUAUUAUUUCACACUCCUGAAGCUGCACGCUCAGUUAAAAGGGAUGAUCUUCCCAGUAGAGCUUACCAUUCUUCAGUCAAGGGUGUACAGGUAGCCGUGCUCCCCUGCCAGAACAAAGUCCCAAGGUCCAAAAAUAUUACUUCAUUUAAUCAUACUGGAAGGAGAUGGAUAUACAUACACCUAAAUAUUCUCUGUACACAUGCAUGUAUCCUUAUCUAU